rfam:Nippostrongylus brasiliensis genome assembly, scaffold: NBR_scaffold0004515
GUGUUUAAGGUGCCGCGAACGUACCUAGGAAUGGUUGUUGGCUCUUUGUGUGCCUUGAUGGGCGUGCUGACCAUUGCACUGCCCGUUCCGGUUAUCGUUUCCAAU